GGUAACUUAGUCUUGUAAUCGUUAACGGAUCAAUUUUUCAUAAAUCUAUGUUUCUAAUAAAGAAGAGUUAUUAUUAUCUUCCUGUCACCCCAACAAAAUAACUUCUAAGUUCAGCAAAACUCACCUCCAAAUCUACUGAACUUAUAUAUUAUAAAGAUCUAUAGGGUCUUCUCGUCCUCCAAUUUCAUCUCAGCCUUUUCACUAAGAAGUUAAAUUCAAUUAUGUUUCAAGUGAGACAGCUUGUACCUCGUCCAACCAUUCAUACCAGCCUUUAAUUAGAAGACUAAUGAUUAUGCUACCUUUGCACGGUCAAAAUACCGCGGCCCUUCAACUAUCAGUGGGC
rnacentral:rRNA from 1 species